rnacentral:rRNA from 1 species
AACGCUGCCGGCAGGCUUAUUCAUGCAAGUACGCGGAGAUGAGGUGCUUGCACCUUAUCUUAGUCGGCGGACGGGUGAGUAAUGCUUAGGAAUCUGCCUAUCUAGUGGGGGACAACAUUUCGAAAGAGAAUGCUAAUACACGCAUACGCCCUACGGUGGUGAAAGCAGGGGAUCUUCGGACCUUGCGCUAAUAGAUGAGCCUAAGUCGGAUUAGCUAGUUGGUGGGGUAAAGGCCUACCAAGGCGACGAUCUGUAGCGGGUCUGAGAGGAUGAUCCGCCACACUGGGACUGAGACACGGCCCAGACUCCUACGGGAGGCAGCAGUGGGGAAUAUUGGACAAUGGGGGGAACCCUGAUCCAGCCAUGCCGCGUGUGUGAAGAAGGCCUUUUGGUUGUAAAGCACUUUAAGCGAGGAGGAGGAGCUCUAGAUUAAUACUCUAGAUGCUUGGACGUUACUCGCAGAAUAAGCACCGGCUAACUCUGUGCCAGCAGCCGCGGUAAUACAGAGGGUGCAAGCGUUAAUCGGAUUUACUGGGCGUAAAGCGUGCGUAGGUGGUCUUUUAAGUCGGAUGUGAAAUCCCUGAGCUUAACUUAGGAAUUGCAUUCGAUACUGGGAGACUAGAGUAUGGGAGAGGAUGGUAGAAUUCCAGGUGUAGCGGUGAAAUGCGUAGAGAUCUGGAGGAAUACCGAUGGCGAAGGCAGCCAUCUGGCCUAUUACUGACACUGAGGUACAAAAGCAUG